AUUUGAAUUCCAUGGAAAAAUGUAUCAAACACCUAAAGUUGGAAAUUCAAUUCCAAUUCCACCCUAUCAAACACACCCUACAAGAAAUUAGAGUUUUCCUGAUCAGAUUUUCCGACCAACCAAAAAUUAGUCAACGAAAAUACUUUUUUACCGACUACUAAGAAUUCUAGGUUGGUCAUAUAUUUUUCGUCCUUUUAUUUUUUUUACCGACACGAUUGAAAUGGGAUAUGAAAAUAGUCUUUGCCUGACCAGUUUUUCCCGAGCAACCAAAUAUUAGCUACUAUAAAUAAUAUUUAUCGACCAAAAGAUUUUUUAGUCAACAUAGACAAGAUGCAAUUGUCGACGAGAUAAAAUAUGGUUGGUGAAAAUCUUAUUUUUGGACCAAAUUUUGGCGGGGAUUAUUGCACCAAAAUAUUUACUGACCAAAAUAAUUAUAGUCGGCGUAGAUGAGAUGUAUUAGCCGACUAGAUGAAAAUAGUUGGUGAACAUAUUAUUUUUGGAGCAAAAUUUUAGUGGGCAUCAUGAUGGUACAAGAAUUGCUUAACAAAAUAAUUUUUAGUUGGCAUAGACAAGACAUAUUUUUCAACUAGAUGAAAGAAAGUGGUGAAUAAUUUUUUUUGGGAUAAAAUUUUGGUGGCAAAUGUCGCACCACAACAUUUAUUGACCAAAAUAAUUAUGAGUCGGCCUAGAUGGAUAUAUUUGCCAACGAGAUGAAAUGAGUCGAUGAAUAUCUUAUUUCUGGGUCAUAUAUAUCACAAUUAACUGGCUUUUUAAUACAUUAGCUAAGAUUUAAAAAAAAA
rnacentral:lncRNA from 1 species